rnacentral:rRNA from 1 species
AGUGAACGCUGGCGGUAGGCCUAACACAUGCAAGUCGAACGGCAGCACAGUAAGAGCUUGCUCUUACGGGUGGCGAGUGGCGGACGGGUGAGGAAUACAUCGGAAUCUACUUUUUCGUGGGGGAUAACGUAGGGAAACUUACGCUAAUACCGCAUACGACCUACGGGUGAAAGCAGGGGAUCUUCGGACCUUGCGCGAUUGAAUGAGCCGAUGUCGGAUUAGCUAGUUGGCGGUGUAAAGGCCCACCAAGGCGACGAUCCGUAGCUGGUCUGAGAGGAUGAUCAGCCACACUGGAACUGAGACACGGUCCAGACUCCUACGGGAGGCAGCAGUGGGGAAUAUUGGACAAUGGGCGCAAGCCUGAUCCAGCCAUACCGCGUGGGUGAAGAAGGCCUUCGGGUUGUAAAGCCCUUUUGUUGAGAAAGAAAAGCAGCAGGUUAAUACCCCGCUGUUCUGACGGUACCCAAAGAAUAAGCACCGGCUAACUUCGUG